UACGUAGGGGGCAAGCGUUGUCCGGAAUCAUUGGGCGUAAAGAGCGCGUAGGCGGUCCGGUAAGUCCGCUGUAAAAGUCAAGGGCUCAACCCUUGAAAGCCGGUGGAUACUGCCGGGCUAGAGUCCGGAAGAGGCGAGUGGAAUUCCUGGUGUAGCGGUGAAAUGCGCAGAUAUCAGGAGGAACACCAACGGCGAAGGCAGCUCGCUGGGACGGUACUGACGCUGAGGCACGAAAGCGUGGGGAUCAAACAGG
rnacentral:rRNA from 1 species